rnacentral:lncRNA from 1 species
GCCGCACGCCGACGGAGCCCAGCCCGGCACCGCAUCUCUGCAGCGUGGAGGGCUGCCAGGCGAGCGUUCGGAGGGGAUUUUCAAAGCCUGGACACCAUGCGUGUGAUUGCUGUUUUUCCCUGCGUGGUAAAGAAGCAAAAUGCAGCAGUGCAGCAAAAUGCGCCUUUACAAACCGGGAGCACUUCUCAACGUGGAAACACAAACUAGAGAUAACCCAGUAUCUGCAAUCACAUUGUGCAAUCGCAACACAAGAUUUUAAUACAUCCUCUCACUAGGACUCCUUCCCAACCCAAAUCCUGUGAUUUAUCAUUAUGCUGCUAUGAUGAAUCCAACAUGGGCACUGUGCUGCAGCCCCGCUGCUGCUGCCUGAUACAGAUCCCAGCACGGCAUCCCUGAUGGCAGAAACGUCACUGCCCGUCACAGAGCUGCAGGAAGGACCUUCUUCACUUUUUGCCCUGAGCCACAGCAGCUGGGGGUGAUUCUGGCACACGCCAGCACCCAGGCUGCCUUCUGAUCUGAAAAAAACAAAGCACUGCUUGCAUUCUGAGCUGUGCUUUCCUCGUUAAAUACAGCCGCUAAAUGCAGCAUGGCCAGCGCUCAGGUUUGCAUCCUACAGUAUCCGCAGCACCAUCUGGAUAGGAUUCCUGCAUUGCACAAGCUUUCCUUGGCAAUAACAAUAAAUAGAUGGGAGUUGUGCUGAGGUAACACAGCCCCGACCCCAAGCAUCCAACUCUUGUUGACCAAAGAUCCCCAAGCUUCCAUCUCUUGUUGAUUAUCUUCUCCAUAACUCCAUGAUGGGGUCAGGGAGGUCCUCCUCCUGUCCCUCCAGUGCACGAGGACAGCGAUGAGCAGUCGAUGCCACCUCCUAUUUGCUGCCCACACAGACCCAGGGUGGGCAAAACUCACAAAAAUGGGGUGGGACGGUGCUGCUGGGACAUGGGGGAGAUCUGAGCCUGCUGUUCCCCCAGUGAAAUAUGGUUAGGGUCACAAGCCCAGCCAGCCAUGUGCCCACACCGACGGCAAGCACGUGUUGAAGGACUCACAGAACCACACAGCCAUAGAACGGUGAGGUUGGAAAGGACCUUCAUGCCCAUCCAGUUCCACCCCGCCAAGGCCUGGGUGCCUCCACCAGCUCAGGCUGCCCAGCAGAGUUGCAACAGUUGGGUUUUCCAUGCAAUCACCUCUGUGCUUUGCAGGGCUUGGUGCAAUUUGCCACCUGAGAGAUGUGGGCACGCAAAAGCAGGAUUUACUUAAAAACAUGAAAAACUGCACGCACAGAUUGAUGUCAUGUGCAAACCUCCACACCAAUUCCUUGUUAAAUCAAUCUGGCUGCAAAGAGCAGGUUGUCUGCACUGAGGGAUGCCAACUGCUCUGCCACAGAGCAAGCAGCAGCCUCACUUCUUUGGGAGUGAAUCUAGCAAGCUUGGAGAGCUCGGGCACGGCUGCAGAACACGCUCCAGCAUGCACCUGCACAGGGAGGGGAUGUGCAGCUGGUCAGGGCCUGGGGCUCCCUUCCAUUUAGGGACGUGGUCGGUGGGCGCGGUGGGGAUAGGCUGGUGGUUGGACCUGGUGAUCAUAGAGGUCUUUUCCAACCUUAGUGAUUCUGUGAUCCCGUGAUUCCCUCUGUCCCAGCUCUGACCACACACACAGUAGUUGCACCGUUAAGUGGAAUAAACCCCAACCCAGUGGGCACCACACACCCAUGGGCACGCCUGCCCCGACGCUGGGUGACAGAGGUGGAGCCAACUGCAGGGUUGUGUGAGAAAACGCCAUCCUCCUGCAGGCAGUUUUCCUGUUCCACAUGCUCUGAAGUAACAGCAGGAGCCAUCUGAACCAAAUUAGGCCUCCAGAAAUUGGAUCAUCCUUUGAUUAUAGCAGCGGCCAUUCUUCAGCAGCUG